rnacentral:lncRNA from 1 species
ACCAUCUUCCCAAAACCUUCUCCUCCUAUAUCACUUUUUUCCUUUUUCCUUUCCUUGACUGCCUGAGAGAGAAAGAGAGUGAUAUGUCCUGCCCUGCUACUGAGUUUAAUUAUAAAUUAAAAUAGACAAUAUUAUUUAUUAACUAUUUUAAGAUACUUAGAAAAAAUGUCUUAUAGGUAAUAUUAUUAUAAUCAUUGUUGAAAUUCAGUAUUUCAGAAUAAUAAGAAUUUGCUUAAGCUUUGCUUUUUUAGGCAUAGUUUUUGGGGUUUUUUUUGCUAAGAAAAUAGUAACCAUUUUUUGCUGUAACUAUUUUGUAUUCCAUAAAAAUGUUAAAGGUUGAUGGAAAACAUCCUUGUGAUUUUUCACCAAAAGAUAAGAGUCACGGAAAUUCACUGAGACUGACAUCUUGGAAUCAGCCAUCCAGCGAUCCAGAAAUAGAAGAUUUUUUUACAGACUCUCAUCCACAGACUUCAUCUGGAGCCUUAAAGAGAAUGUAUGCGGGGUUUGGCAAGAGAGAUAAGAUCUUAGUUGAUACCAGCAAAAAAUCAAUGGCCAGAACGAAAAAGAAGGGUCUUUUUAGUUAAAUUGACAAUUGCUAGAGGAAUUAUGUGUGUCUUGCUGUAUUGUAAGAGGGGAGCUGUAUUUCAUUUAUGAAAAGACUGGGGAGUGAUGUUUCAGUUUAAAAAUCAUUUUACUCUCAAAGUAAAACUCACUUUAUUGAACAGCUGGCAUCUUAAAACAGCCCUGUGCAAUUCACAUAAAGUUGAGUCUUCUGAGAGCCUGGGUGAUUACAUCAUAGAAUAGAAUAUUAAAUUAGUUUCCUUUAAGAUUGCACUGUUACUGCCCUGUUUUCUAAUCUCUUUAUUUAUUUCAGCAGUCUAUUUGGAAAAUGUGAUUUGAUAUAGAUAACAGUAGGUAUACAGUGAUUGUGUGCAUGAUUUAAAUAUUCUGAUAUUCCCGCAAUUCUGUCUUGGAAAUAAAGAAAGCAUAGUUGUUUUACA